rnacentral:rRNA from 1 species
GCCAGCAGCCGCGGUAAUACAGAGGUCUCAAGCGUUGUUCGGAAUCACUGGGCGUAAAGCGUGCGUAGGCUGUUUCGUAAGUCGUGUGUGAAAGGCGCGGGCUCAACCCGCGGACGGCACAUGAUACUGCGAGACUAGAGUAAUGGAGGGGGAACCGGAAUUCUCGGUGUAGCAGUGAAAUGCGUAGAUAUCGAGAGGAACACUCGUGGCGAAGGCGGGUUCCUGGACAUUAACUGACGCUGAGGCACGAAGGCCWGGGGAGCGAAAG